UUUCAUAAUAUUUAACAAAUUAAGCACAACUCUCUUCCUCACCAAUCUCACUUAUUCCCAACUUUUUCCCCUUUUCUUUUUCAUUGAGCUCAUCUUCAUGCUUUUCUUCUUUUCUUUUCUUCUUUUCUUUUCUUUUUCUCAUGAAUUUUUUUCUUUUCACAACAUUUGAGCUCAAUGCUUUUCACUUGCUUUUUCAAUUUUCCCCCGUACAACCCCAAACUUGAACCUUUUCAUCACAUACAAUUAAG
rnacentral:lncRNA from 1 species